CUAAAAUAUGAUAAUAUGAGAAUUAUGAUAUUUUAUUUUACUCAUCUGCCUGGAUAUUUCUCCUUCCUCGGUCAUGUUACAAUAUAUUUAGAGCCUUCUUUGAUACAUUUAUUGCCUUUCUACUGACAACCAUAAUUCCCCGUGCCAGCUAUCAUUAAUGGAAAAAAAUAUAUUUCAAGGGAGCUUCAUAAUGUUGCAGUGACAACUAAGAAGAAAUACUUCUAAAACUGUCUCAUAGCUUGUUUCAAGAUUUGUUCUUCCUGAGAAAUACUCCACUGUACCCACCUUUCAGAAUGAAAGAGAAUACUUCUAAGAUGACAUGGAACCUCUAGGAGAUAGUGGAUAGAGGUGGGACUGACCAGUUCAUGAUACAUCUCCAUGGGGGGAGCAAGGCAAUUGAUAUCUAUAAUGAAGCUGGAGAAGGGUCUGGCAGCGAGAGUGCCAUCUUUGAGAACAUGGGAAAGGUUUUUGAUAGAGCCUGGCACAAACUUGCAAGGGGAAGACAGCUCAAUAUGUGUGUAGAUGGCCAGACUGCAGUUCAUGGUUUGAGAGCAGUGUUUGCUUUAUUUCAGAUGCAAAGGACGUGCUCCAUAUAACUAGAAGUGACUGGCUCAAAAUUCUUUAAACCUUCUGUUUAACAAAAAGGACUGAUGAGUGUGCUCUGCCCUUUGCUGUGGUUCCUACAAAACACAGAACAAGUCUCUGUUCCCUGGUUAAAAUAACCCUGGAGACUGAAAUUGGCGGUCAUAGCAUUUGACUUCCCUAUGGGGUCCUGACUUGCCACAAAAUGCCACCAUUGAAACAAUACAAGGCCAUCCAACCUUGGAAAAGCAAUACAGAAUUUCAUACACAAAAAAUUCUAGAAACUCACUGCCAGCUGAGAUCACUUCAGAUCUUACCACCUUCCAAGCUAAACGCACCAUAGACUUCCUCGAUGUUUAAUAUUUCCACAAUUAGUUCUUAAGAUGAAAGCACCACCUCACUAGAAAUCCUCUCCAUCCCAUGCAGAUAAAUUCACAAACCUACCAAGCUCCUUCUCCCACAAACUGGGAAUUAAUUAUUAUACUCCAUCCUAUGCUUGGGAAAUGCAUUUUUUGCUACUGAAGGCGUCUACGUGGAUAAGCAGACAGACUGAGGAUAGAUUGAAGCUGUUCAGAAAGUUUAAAACCUGCCUUCCUGUUGGUUUAUCCUGUAUGUUGAUGCAUCACUGCUUGAACUUCAUGUAGAUCAUAACAGGACAUCAGAGGAAACCUAUGAAGUUCCUGGGGUGGGAGCUGUGGAGAGCAAUGAGAUCGUCCUUCAGCCUCCUCUUGUCCAAACUAGACAAGCCCAGAGCCCUCAAGUGUUCCUCACAGGAUGUGCCUUCCAGCCCUGUGACCAGCUUUGUUGUGCUCCUUGGGAUGCAUUCAAGGGCAGUCACAUCCUUCUUAACAGACAUACUGAGUACCUCCUGUGGACUUUGAGAGCUGUUCCUCUGAAAAUCAGGUCACUGAUGUGAUGCUGGAAGGAGAAAGCACAAGGAAAAAGAAGGGCUCUGAUUUUUAAACACAAGUGUUUAUAUGAU